CCAAUAGCGUAUAUUAAAGUUGUUGUGGUUAAAAAGCUCGUAGUUGAACCUUGGGCCUGGCUGGCCGGUCCGCCUCACCGCGUGUACUGGUCCGGCCGGGCCUUUCCCUCUGUGGAACCCCAUGCCCUUCACUGGGUGUGGCGGGGAAACAGGACUUUUACUUUGAAAAAAUUAGAGUGCUCCAGGCAGGCCUAUGCUCGAAUACAUUAGCAUGGAAUAAUAGAAUAGGACGUGUGGUUCUAUUUUGUUGGUUUCUAGGACCGCCGUAAUGAUUAAUAGGGACAGUCGGGGGCAUCAGUAUUCAAUUGUCAGAGGUGAAAUUCUUGGAUUUAUUGAAGACUAACUACUGCGAAAGCAUUUGCCAAGGAUGUUUUCAUUAAUCAGGAACGAAAGUUAGGGGAUCGAAGACGAUCAGAUACCGUCGUAGUCUUAACCAUAAACUAUGCCGACUAGGGAUCGGACGAUGUUAUUUAUUGACUCGUUCGGCACCUUACG
rnacentral:misc_RNA from 1 species